rnacentral:rRNA from 1 species
CAGCAGUAAGGAAUAUUGGACAAUGGGCGAAAGCCUGAUCCAGCCAUCCCGCGUGCAGGAUGACGGCCCUACGGGUUGUAAACUGCUUUUAUGAGGGAAGAAACCCCCCAAUGUAUUGGGGGCUGACGGUACCUCAGGAAUAAGCACCGGCUAACUCCGUGCCAGCAGCCGCGGUAAUACGGAGGGUGCAAGUGUUAUCCGGAAUUACUGGGUUUAAAGGGUGCGUAGGCGGAACAAUAAGUCAGGAGUGAAAGCUUCCCGCUUAACGGGAGAAUUGCUUUUGAUACUGUUGUUCUUGAAUCAGGAUGAGGUUGGCGGAAUGUGGCAUGUAGCGGUGAAAUGCAUAGAUAUGCCAUGGAACACCGAUUGCGAAGGCAGCUGACUGGACCUGUAUUGACGCUGAGGCAGGAAAGCGUGGGGAGCGAACAGGAUUAGAUACCCUGGUAGUCCACGCCCUAAACGAUGUUAACUGACGUUUGGUUUAUAAUUGAGCGUCCAAGGGAAACCGUUAAGUAGCCAC